rnacentral:rRNA from 1 species
GUAAUCAAAAGUUUAUUGAUUGUAAACCCGUAUGAAAGAUGGAACCUAUAGUUUCUUUUAUUUGUUCAAAAACGAAAUUAAAGAAAAACGAAAAAUAUUUUUUUUGGGGGCAGACGAGAAGACCCUAAAAGCUAAUUGAAACCAAUUUUUUGGGGAAAAUACUAUUGAAAUUCUAAUAACAAAAAAAUUCAAAAACUUAGAAAUAAGCUACUUUAGGGGUAACAGAGUAAUUUUUUCAAAAAGAACUUAUUGAAUUAAGAGAUUACGACCUCGAUGUUGGAUUCCUGUAUCUCGAUGCCGCAGCAGGUUUGAGAAAAUAGACUGUUCGUUUUUUAAAUCAGG